CUUGAGCAUGUGACCGCCCUGUAACUAGGGUCCAGGUCUUUGCCCGCUUGCUCAUUUGGCAUUACGCCGUAUACUGGCUGACUACUCAGUUUGACCUCCCUGUAAUUAGGGAGCAGGUCACAAAUAUCUAUAGAAUGGGACAUAUUGAGUCCUUUGGUACUUUGAGGAGCUCGACCUUCCUGUAAUUCAGGUUACCGUCUCUGCUAUUUUGCUAAUUCCAGCGACCACCCUGUAAUCAGGGUACAGGUGGCAUCUCUCUUUUGAAUUCUUCGGAAUUGGAACCAUUUCAGUAACAUGGGUAGCUUGAACUCCCUGUAACUAGGGUUUGGUCUCCAAGGCCCUUUGGGUCUCUUGGCAUUGUGCUUUCUUCACAGCCUGAGGUGAGUGACCGCCCUGUAAUCAGGGAUCUGGCCUUUGCCCUCUAUUCUCUUGGCACUAGGUCAAGUGCAGCCCACUGAUCUGAAUGAGCACCCUGUAAAUAGGGUACAGGUCUCAUCAGACACUAUUUAUGGUGCCCCCAUGAGACAGUGUCCAGAGUCCUGGCCCUUUGCACUGCGCUUCCAUCUUGCCUGGAAUUGUGCAGCCAAGUCUCCUGCUUUCUGCUCCGCUUACUGUGCUCUUCGAUACCCGAGAUCCUGCUGCUUUUGCUGGAGAAUGGGACAAAACCGAAAAACGAGAAAAGAGACGCUAAUAGCCUGUGAAGAAGAAGAAAGGAAACAAAUUCUGAGCGCAAAGUACAGUUAUGUGAUCUAUUUCAAAGGGUUUAUACCAUGUCCAGCACCAUGGUAUAUGAGUGCAUUGGAAAGAUAAAUUGAACAAAGUGACUAGCAUCUGUCACCUUUCAAAUGCUGAUUAAUGUUAAUAGACAAUAUAUAACAAACUCUGAAGCUCAAUUACUUGUGGCACCACAGCACAGCCUGAAGACUGGAUAACAGUUUCCUGCUACGAUCUUUCAGUUCUGUAAUUAGCUGUGCCACAUGAGAACUGAUAUAUCAUCUUAUUUUAUAAUCAUGUAUGUCCUCUCUAAUUGUCUUUUACUAAUGAGUCCAUAAAGCAUGCUUUGUGCAUCACACUUUCACAUUCUAGUAGAAAAGUGGGAUGUAUUUUUUAUUUAAUUAAUUAACCUUAAUCUUUAUGAUUCUUUGACGAGUCAUUUUCAUGUCAUUGCUUGGUGAUUUGGACUUCUGUUUAGCAAGAAGUCAGUUUUAUUUCCUUAAAGUCUCUGUAAGCUACAACAAGUUGUUCAAAGCUAAAAAAACGAUUUGAAAAAGAUGGAAGAAAACUGAGAUGUAGGGUGGCUACCCUGAAGAGUGUUGGAAAACCUUUUUCAGUAGGCACACUAUUGACCUUUCUCUCAGCUCAUUUUUAUACCAAAAUAGUACCAUAGCAAUGAUCCCAUGUGAAAUUAUACUAAGUUUCUGCCUAUCGCCAAUUAGAAAUUGUCAAUAUAACUGGUUAUUUGAAUCUAAAUGUUGAUUUCAUGUAGAUAUGUAACCAAGUAUUUUAAAAGUAUUUUACCAAGUUGACUACCUGAUUUUAUGUAAAAGAGUUACACAUAUCUUAGAAAACAUGUUACUUUGACUUAAGUGUGGGCAACUAAUGCUUUAUGUACUUUUGUUUUUACUAACAGGUUUGUCAGUAGGCAUAAAGGAAAAAUUGUGAAUCUGUAAUACAGAGCCCUUAAACAAACAAGCACUACUAUUAUUAAAAAUAAAUCAUAAUUUCCUACUGGAAGUGCAAAGAUGUAACUGAAGGGAAGGCAUGUGUUUGUAUUCUCCACUCACCUCAAGCCGCCCCCCCAAAAAACUCUUCAAAAAAGUUGAUGUCGAAAAGAUUACAGUUUACUCCAGAUACCGUCUAACUUAAUAUUUUUAAAGCUCUGUAUCUCUCACACAUUGCUAAAAAGCAAACAAAACUAAAAGUUGUUCUGGAAACUGACAGUUACUCCCCCCACUUCACAACUUUCAAACACCUACUCUACUUCAACAGUCACACCAACCAAACUGUACCACACAUUCAAUUUUAAUUUUGCACCUAUUGUGUCAGAAGAGCUAGAGUAUUUUUUGGUAGUUGUAUAUAUUGAUGUACAUGGUAAUAGUGGUAUUUUAAUAGGUUUUUAUGCUUAUUGAAUUAAGUGGAUGCUCAAGGAUGAUGAUGUGGAUGUUUUAGGUAGGCAUUUUUCUGAGAAGUGUUAGUAUUUUUGUAGAGGUGCGGUAUUUUGUGAUGAUGACUGCUUUUCAGGUAAUGGUUUACAGUGAAUUGUUGAAAAUCGUAGAUGAUUUUUGCAUAUGUACAUUAUUAGAUGUACUUAGAGUGCAAAGUUGAGGUUGCCUGUUUGGUGCAAUUUUAUUGGUGUGAAAGUUAAUUUAGGAUAGGUGUUUGAAAGCACUGAGGUUUGAAUUUUAAGCUCAUCAGGGAUCCAGGAUCUACCUGGCUACCUCAGUUCUUACUGUCAUUCCUAAUUCCAAAAUCUGGGAUGAAGGUGACCCGGCAGAAUAAAGAUAUCUCCAGAGACUUUCAAAAGUUAACAUUUCUGCAGCUGUAGGGGAUCCCUUAAACCUUAUUGAACUAUUUGAAAUGUAAUAACUGGAAAACUUUUGACUUCUAUUUCUGCCAGUUAAGUGUUGAACAAUGACCUCUAUUAAAAGAUUUAUACUGUUAGUUAAUUCUGUUCUGUUCUAAGAUCUUGCUAAUAUCGCCAUUUUAUGUGUGAAAUGAAUUAACUAGAUUUGAUUAUACCUACUUGAUAAAUAUUGGAAUAUUCCAUGUUAAAUUCAUAGAUUUAACUUUGAUUGUCAUAUCAACUUACUUUGCUAUC